ACUGCAUUUGAUACUGGCGGCUUGAGCUCAUGAAAGGUGAGUGGAAUUGCCGGUGUAGCGGUGAAAUGCGUAGAUAUUCGGAAGAACACCAGUGGCGAAGGCGGCUCACUGGGCCGGUACUGACGCUGAGGCACGAAAGCGUGGGGAGCAAACAGGAUUAGAUACCCUGGUAGUCCACGCCGUAAACGAUGAGUACUAGCUGUUGGGGGGCUUGCCCUUCUGUGGCGCAGCUAAAGAAUUAUACACCCCCCCCGGGGAGAACGGGCGCACGAGAAAAACUCAAAAAAAUUGACGG
rnacentral:rRNA from 1 species